CUCCCAAGGAGGAAGGUUCUCUAUCUGGAGAUCACUCCUCUUGGAGUCCUUCUAUGAGCCCAGGACACGGGUUGUCGCCUGGCAUGAUCAUGAAGCAGUAACAGAUCACUAACUAGUUCUUCCAAAAAACCAGGAAUGCCUCCAGCUGCUCCAUUGUUUUCUUGCCCUUUGUUGGUGCCUGAACCUGCCCCUGUCCCACAGUGCCAGGCUCCCAGCUCAUCACCUUGAAAUGGCCUGAAGUCUCUGCAGCUUCCUGGCAGAGUCCCAGUACAUCUCCUGAGGCUCAUCCAAACCUGGGGGAAAAAGCAAAAGGAUGAAAAUAAACCACACUACAGAUUCCAGUCAGAUGUUCCCUUUUAAAUACAGGAUUGACAAAUAAUCAGUAUCAAAGCACAUCAGUGACCACAUUGUUCAGGCUUGCAUUUGGGAGUGCUUUCCAAUUAAAAGCAAAUCACUGAAUGAGACUUUCAAAUUGGUUUUGGUGAAGAAGAAGAAAUGAAGGGAAGCUACUUGAGAUCUGACAAUAGCUGAAGUGAUUUGUAAGCAUGAAGCAUGUGAGAUAACAUUUAAUUAACAGCAGCAAAAAUAGAACAUCGCUUUGAAUUUACGUACGUUCUCUUGUUCCAUGUAUGCGCAAUGCCCUUUCUUUAAGUUUCUCUUCUCACAAAACUGUAUUAACCCUCCAUUCCUGAAGAUAAUACUUCCCUCACAGGCUGUACAGCAUUUCUUACACUUUCAGAAGUUUCAUACUCACUUAGAGGGUUUGCCCCAGGCUGUAUCUCAACCCAGCAUCAUUUUCCUUAAAGCUGUGAAAGUAACUGUAUCUGAUGUGACAAAUAAUCCUUAACAUUUGUUAAGACUGUGCACAAGUUGCUUAAUGACUUCUGGAUUUGAAACAUCUCUGUGAUUUUGCCAAGCAAUAUCUCCAGAGCACAUGCAAACCUGGUGAUGACCCUGGGUCCUCUGGUUAGUAGAGCCACACAAGGCAAGUUUUUGGCAGCUGAUCCAUUUUGAGUGUUAGUUCCAGGGAAGCCUGAACCACUGUUCCUGGGCACUGCUCCUCUUCACUGAACAAUAAGCACAUCCUGACACUGCAGGUGGCUCCAGUCAUAGAGAUCAUUCAGCGUAUUUGAACUGGAGAAGGUGUUGUCUCAAAGCACACUUCCUGGGUCCCUGUGUUUGUAUACCCACUGCCUCUCCUGAACAUCACAUGAACAUGUACACAUGUCCCAGCAUCAUUCCAGUGGCCACUACAGACAGGAAACCGCUUCCCAACAUGGAGGCUGCAGCUUAUGCUGUGUGUUGUGAUGGCAUCCCUGUCUGCAUCUGUCCUACAUCAGAAUGUCAACAUUAAGAUGCCACUGAAGUAACUGUGAUAGAAGUCAAGGAUGCCUUCUUCAGCAUCACUGGUAGACUGUCUCCAUUUACAUUGAGACUGAGUAAGCUGCUGCUCACCAGAGACACCAUUACUGCACAUCUGUACAGGAACGGUCUUGUGCAGCUUUGAAGCCAGCACCCUCAGUUCUGCUGAGGUUCUCUCCAGCAAGGACAAGCCUGUGAGGCUGGAG
ensembl:lncRNA